rnacentral:RNase_P_RNA from 1 species
CGAGCCGACCGGGCGGCCGCGGUACCGGCCACCGCCUUCAUGGCGGUGGCGGGCUGAGGAACGUCCGGGCUCCACAGAGCAGGGCGGUGGCUAACGGCCACCCGGGGUGACCCGCGGGACAGUGCCACAGAGAGUAGACCGCCCAUCGGAUACCGGUGGGUAAGGGUGAAAAGGUGGGGUAAGAGCCCACCAGCGCGGCGGGUGACCGUUGCGGCUCGGUAAACCCCGCCCGGAGCAAGACCGCACAGCUGGCGCUUGAAGGCUGCUCGCCCGAGUCAGCGGGUAGGUCGCAUGAGGCCGCUGGUAACAGCGGUCCAAGAUGAAUGGUCGCCACCGCCCAGGCCGGUAACGGCGGGCGGCAACAGAACCCGGCGUACAGGUCGGCUCGUCCG